AAAAAACUAGUUAAAAUAUAACAUAAGAAUGUCAUUCUUAAGUCACACCUGUGUUUUUUA
rnacentral:tRNA from 2 species